rnacentral:rRNA from 1 species
UAUCUUGUAAAGAGGGAUAGGAGAAUUGGAGGGCAAGUUUGGUGCCAGCAGCCGCGGUAAUACCGACUCCAAGAGUGUGUAUGAGAGAUGCUGCAGUUAAAAAGUCCGUAGUCAUAGAAGGGCAAAGAGAGACGCGAGGUCUCACAGUGCGAUGAUGGAGGAGCCGAUGGGGAACAUAGUAUACCAGGGCGAGAGAUGAAAUGCCAAGACCCCUGGUGGACUGAGCGAGGCGAAGGCGAUGUUCUUGUAGGCAUUCGGUGAUCAAGGACGAAGGCUGGAGUAUCGAAAGUGAUUAGAUACCGCAGUAGUUCCAGCAGUAAAAGAUGCCGACAUGCUCAUUGGACACAGUGGGCAGGGAGAAAUCUUAGAGUUCGGGCUCUGGGGAUAGUAUGCUCGCAAGGGUGAAAAUUAAAGAAAUUGACGGAGCUACACCACAAGGAGUGGAUUGUGCGGCUUAAUUUGACUCAACGCGAGGAAACUUACCAGGGCCAAGUAUUGUGUAGAAACGAGCAAUACAGGAGUGGUGCAUGGUCGUUGGAAAUUGAUGGGAUGACUUUGACCUUAAAUGGGUGAAUGAGUGAGAUUCUUUUUGACAUGUCCGCACGAACAGGAAGGAAAAGGCUAUACAGAUCGAGAUGCCCUCAGAUGCCUUGGGCUGCA